UUGGUUGGUGGUGAUUGCAUCACUGAUCGAACUUAUAACUGAUUGUAUAACAUUAAUUGCAGCAGCGCGUAAAAAGCAGCCUCUAAAGACCAAAACAUAUUUUAAAAGUAGCAACGAAUAGGAAUGGUCAAAUGAUGUCCUUGCUCCCCAAGCAAAUGCAUCUUCCUUUGUCUUUAUCGUAUUAUUCUAUAAAUAGGUAAUUCUUACUUCAUCUUCUUCAUCACUCACAACAUAAACCUUCUUUUCAUAUUUCCACGCUAAAACUCAAACUUCAUCAACAUGUCAUCCUUCUUCAGUUGCUUCAUUCCAUCUUCAUCUGGUCAAGUUUUUGAUUAUGCUGAAAGAUCUUCUUCUUCAUCAUCAUCAUUAUCAUCUCAAAUGAAUCUUCCUUCUUCGGAGAAACCAAAGAGCAAACCAAAGUCAAAGGGUGCUCCUAUUGUUGUGUCGUAUUUCCCUGUCAACCAUUAUCCCUCACGCUUGUAGAAUAUGAGCUAUGUUUUCUCGUUUCUGAAGACUAAGGAAGAGUUUGGUUUUACGUUAAGACGUUCAAGGUCUUUUUGAACAUCAGUUAACCUAAAAUCAAACACAUACUCAGAGUUUCAACAUUCACUUUAUAUAUUAAUUCAUCUGUCAGGCUGAUUAGGUGAUCGAGUUCGAGUUUCAUCUCUUAUUUGUAAAAUAUAGUUUCACACUAUAUUUUUUUAUUUAUUAAUACACACUUCUUUUCCACACUUUAUUUCAUUACUUGUAUAUUAUUAAAUUCGUUGCUAAAAGUAUUAUUAUUUUGUGAUGAACAUUUAACUACAUUAUAUUCUUGUAUGCUUUUUAAAUUUUGGUAGUGUUAAAAUAAAGAAAUUUGUUCGAGUGUAUUAAGUUUUGAAAAAUAAUAAUUUAUCAACUAGCAUAUUGCAUUGCGUGGAAUAUUUACUCAACUCUUAACUAGAAUAACUAGAUUUUGACUCUUAUUUUUGGGUUAUUGUUACCUUUCUAUCAACUAUUAAAAUAACCAAUAUUAAUUAAUUAAUUAAUAUAUUUUUAUUACUAAUUAAUUUAUAAAUUUAUUUGUCUUGUUUGUAGACAUUAUUGAUUUAUUUUCUUAUAAUUUAAAUUUAUAUUUUUUUUCAGUAUUAUCAUAGAUAACGGAUUAUUGUGAUAAAAAAUAUUCUUAAUAUAUCUUCUAGUGAGUAGUGAGUGAAAGAAAGUACAUUUUCAGAAUUUUUCCUUUUUUUUUCUCUUUAUCUUAUUAUUCAAAAUGGAGUAAUUGUCAUAGCAUUUAUAACUUUUAGUUUCACGCAACAUACAUGAGAAGUGUAUGUUCAAGAUUCCGCGUUCAGUAAAAAUAAAAUAAAACUAUACUAUAUUAAAAUCUUAUUUGUGAAGGUAAAUUAGAUUCAAAUUCACUUCUUAAUGAUUAUAAAUAUUGUUUUUAAUAAUAUUUUGAAUUUCAAUUUGAAUUAUUUUAAUACCAAAAAGAUAAUAUGUAAAGUGUUUUAGAAAUGAGAGUGGUUUAAUAAGUGUGGUACUCGAUUAUUUUAAUAUUAAAUAGGUUUAUUAUAAGUAGUUUCGUUAUAAACGAGUUUCAUUAUUUUAAAAUAUAUUAUAUCUCUAAAAAUCACUUUUUGAGUUCUUUGACUUCUCUCUAGGAGUUCUUCUUAUGCUCACCUAAUUGAAGAACUGAGACCGUAGGACUACUCCUGGCAGCGAACUCUUCAUUUCAGACCGACUAUAUUUUCUUCGUCUGAGUAAGUUAAGUUUGAUCCCUUUUCUCUAGUCCUUUCUUUCUUCUGUUGCAUGCGGGCUCCUAUCAUUUUGCAUGUAAUGUCUGAGUCUUCUAUAAAAGACUUUCUGUUAAACAGUGGUCCCAAUACUAUAUCCUGGUCAUGUUUUUGUACUCUGUAAGUACACAUAGAGCUCCUUGAGCUGUUAAAGCAUAAUGGAGUUCUUUAGAAUAUUGUGGUGUUUAGAAAGAUAAAGGAAGUAAAUUUUUGUUUUAUUUUGUGUUAGGAAGGAAGUAUUAAUACAUAAUCACCAUGUUGUGAGAAUGAUGUUCGAUUUAAUAUGUGAUCAACCAAGAUGAAUAAUUGGUAAUAAUCUUGUUUGACACACAAAAUUAAAUUAUUGAAAAAUGACUGUCAUGUAUGUUGAUGAAUUGAUACUACCUUGUACUUUGAUUGUUGUUGUUUUAGGAGUUCUAGGAGGUACAAACCUGUUAUAGAAUUAAUAGUAGUAAAAAAGGGAAUGAUGUUAUGCUGUUUUUAGUCUAGAUUGGAGUUUUGGUAUGUGAGUUUCUAGAAGAGUGACUUUUGAGUGAGAAUUGAUGUUUGAGAGCUGUCUUUUGAUCAAUUAAAACUUGUCUAGGGCCUUAAUUGACUAAAAAUACGAGGUUGAUUUGGAGAAGUAGCAAUUGGGUAGAAUUAUAAGUUGUUUUGUGUUAAAUAGGGGGUUUUGACAAGUGAGAUUUUGAGAUAGUGUCUGGAUGGGGAAACCUGAAGUUCAAGGUCGAUUUUUAAACAAUUUAGGACUUGUGUAGAGGUUAAGUUUACCAAAUUUUGAUAAGGAAUAAGUGGAGUUGAAUCAUGUUUUUGUUUGAGGGAAGUAUAAAUUCUUUUAAAAAUGAUACUGCUAAAGUUUAAGUUGAGCCAUAGACACUUGUUUGAGUUCAAUUUCAGGUUUGGAAGUGGUAAAAGAAAGUUGUAGAUGCACAUGAAGGCGUAGGAGUCAGAAAAUUUUAGGUAGAAUGGGUUUCUGCAAAAAAGUUGUGCUACAAAAUUUCGCAGACUAGCUGGGUGAGCUAGGGAGUUGCUGGGAGAGUAAAUAGGUUACGAAAAUAGUGAGUUACAACAACUGUCGAGCAUUCUCCCUGAGCCUGCAAAACUCUCCGUUUUUACUUUCGAUGGGUGAGUAAGGUUGUGUUGAGCACCAUAGUACUGACGUUGAGCACCCUAUGUGCAUUAUGAGUUUAUGUUUUCUUUUCUUUUGUUUUUGAUUGGGUAUGAGCUAUAUUUGUACUUUGAUGCUUGUUUGGUAUUAUCUAUUGAGUUGUAUGAUAUUAUGAUAAGGAUGAGGAUGUCUUGAUCAUUAGAGGGAUUCCAUAGUGGUGCUCAAUAGUGUAUGUAUUAUUGUAAGAGCUCAUUAUUGGGGGUUAUCUUGAUACUCUAAUGGUCAUUUGUGUUCAAGUAGAGAAGCAAACCAUUUGGUAAAAGUAGCAGGAGUCCUAGUCUGGGGCCUUACCAUUUGACAAAGGGUAUUUUAAUGGACUAACCUUUUGUGGUAACUUUGAGUGGGUUAACUGUUUUACAACACAAGUGCAGAACCCCUCAUAACUCAACAAUAACACAUACCAAAUAAUCAGUCUAGAACUGUAUGCUUAGGAUUGUUGAUUCAUAUAUGUGGUGUGUGAAUAUUCAUACUUUAUUCAUAUAUAUAUAUAUAUAGAUAUUAGUUUACUUUACUUUUUUUGUCUGUUUAUUUGUCAUCUUUUUGUUGCGAUGAUCACUUUAAUGGUGAGAGCAGAUAAAGAUGUAUUUUCAGUUAGUCUAACGAGGGUGAGAGUGAAACAAAUGUGUAAUUUGGUGGUUUUACAACAGUAGAUUUUUUAUUUUUUUAUGUAGUAGGUUUGUUUUACCUUAUUGUUUUAUUAUCAUCUUUGUAACGUUUUAUUUUAAUAAUUUUAUACUAUUAAAAUGGAUGUUACAUAAAAAAAAAUAUUUACAAUAUUAAAUUAAAUAAUUAAUUCAAAUCGUGUCUUAAAUUUUCAAUUUUUACUAUCAAAUAACUUAAUAUUUUUAACAAAACCUCAAUUUUAACUACAUUAAACAAUUCACAUAAUUUAUUACAAAAUAAUUUCUAAAUAAUGUCACUAUAGAAAUAUUAAUUAUUUUUUAUUAUUUUUUAUUUUUUUAUAAUUUCAGUUUAUUUAGAAGGUUUGAAAAGAAUUAAAAGAAUAUUUUAGAAUUCAGUCUCUCUGAAACCAAAUUGUAAUAUACUUUUGAAUAAGUUUCUUCAACUAACUUGGAGAAUUGGUUGAGCUAAGACUUUGAUUUGUUAUAUGGUGAGUUUUAAGAAUAGAAAAUGUUUUAAAAAGACACAUUUUCACUUGCCCACGUUUUUGCAAAGUUUCUUGGUAGCAUCAGUUAUCAUUAUCAAGACAAAGAUGUUAGAAAAACUUUCUCAACUUAUUCCUCGUGCUGCCCCGAUUGAAUAAAGCCAAAAACAAAGUAGAAGUGACCCCAACAAUAUAUUAUUCGGAGAGGGCGAAAUCAAAAGCAACCACUAAAUAUGUUGUCAUGUUCUCCUUCUUCCCCAAGUAAAUUGACUAACAUGCUACAUAAUACAUUAUAUAAAUAUCAUUCAUUUCAAUUUUACUUUUUGCUUCGUAUGUUGUUGAGUUCAAAUUUCAUUAUAUUACAAAAAAAAAAAUUAAUUAUAAAAAAUAGUAUUUUUUUUAUAUAUAAAAAAAGAAAUUAUUAUGAUAUGUUGUGUACAAGAUUAUAUAUUUUUCGUUGUGAAGUUACAAUUGAUGACCUCAAAGUAUAAUUGCUGAAAUCACGAGUCAAACAACAUGAUUAUGUAAAAUACUUGAAGAAAUUGGUGAACCAUAAGAUGGAACUAUUAUCCAUUGCGAUAAUAAAUUGAAAGUAAUAAUAGCAAAACAUUAAAUCCAUCAUCAAAUAACAAAACACAUAGCCAUUAAAUAUCACUUCAUUUGAGAUGAAGAGACAAGUAAAUAGAUUCAAUUCCCAAAUUAUAAAUAUUUUUACAAAAGCAUUUUCACCAUCAAGAUUUGAACUACUACACACUAUUCUUGAAGUUACUGAAUUUGUAUUAAAGAGGAAUAUUAAAGUGUAAUGCAAAUUAUAGAAAAAUAUAAAAAGUCCUAAGAUAAGUAUUAAAAUGUAAUAAAAGUUAUAGAAUAUUUUAGAAAAACUUAAGAUAAGAAGAAAAAAAUCAAGAACAAUUUACAUAGAUAAAAAUUUAGAACAUUUCACAUAAGUUGUGGCUCGCAUAUUCUAGAAUAAUCUACAUGCCUAUAAAUACCAAGAUACUUUAGCAUUUGAUGUAAGCUAACAUCUAUCCUAACUAUUCUUUUCAUAAUCUCAAAAUACUAACAAUAACAUUAAUUUGUAUUUAUUUUUUUCUGUCGUCACAUUAUACUAUCACAUGAUUGGAAUAGAAUUUGACUGAUGAUAAUUCUAUUAUGCUAGUUAUGGAAGGUUUUCUACUUACUCCUUUUAAUAGAUUUUUUAAGAUUACUAUGGAUGUAAUGUAAUGUCAAAUGGGUUAAUAAAAGGUUGAAGCUUUCUGCCAUGAAUAUUUGUAAUUUUCCUCUUAGAUUAGGUCUGCCUUGUUUUUGUGAGCUCUUUGAAACAAUCAUUGAACAUAAUUUUAAGAGAUUUCUAUGAAUAAAAAAUUAUAAAAAUUUGACUUCUUCUUCCCACUAGCAUUUUUUUGACUAUAGGAAGUUUAUGUGAAAAUAGCUGGCAGACUCUGCAUAAUGCAAAUGGAAAGUGUUGAUACAAAAUCCUUGCACCUUACGUAUAGAGGAACCCACACAGCAAUAUAAAAGGAUUAUUUUUUAUCAUAAGCUGCUAUAAAUAGAGCAGCUAAAUGUCUCACUUUCAAUUCAAUCUGAAACCAACUUUGCUGCAUACACAGGCAAAUAGAAACUACAACAAUGCCUUUUUUUCUCAUCCUUCUUCAAUUGCUGUGUUCCCUCUUCUUCAUCAUCAUCCAUGAAAGUCUUUCUUCAUCAUCAUCCAUGAAAGUCUCUGAUGUUGAACAUGGGUGUCAAUCAAAAGCACCUUCUUCAGAGAACCAAAAGAAAAAACCAAAAUCAAAGGGAGCACCAGUUGUCAUGUCUUAUUUUCNUAUUAACUCUUCUCUCUCACGCUUGUAAUAAGGAUGGUGUCUCAUUCUUUGAAUGAAUUGUAACUAUUAUUAUUAUUAUAGAUUAUUUGUUAAUGAUUAGAUACAUGAUCAAAGUUAAUUUUUGACAAAUUUUAGUUCUUCUGUGUAUAUUUUAUGUUUUUCAGAUUGUGCUGCUUUCAAAAUAUGAUUUUGGGUCACAUGAAUUUCAGUUGUACCCUAUACCUAAUAAUAAUAAAAUAAAGCACUCAAUUAGAAAUUAUAUAGGUCACUCUUAUAUCAAUAUCCAUUAAAUAUCAAAUGCAAAUUAAUAUGUUAUAGUUAUAACUUGCAUGAACCAAUCAAGGCGUAAAUUUCCUUGGAGGAGACCACGUCGAUAUGUAACAUUAGCUCAAUUAUUGAUAAAAAAAUUUGGCUGGAUAAACUUUUUAUUUGUAUUAACAUUUUAUGAGAAAAAAAAAAAGAAUGGAAUAAUUUUAUUUAUAACUUAAAAUUAGUUUGGGUAAGUUUAAAAUAAACAUUAUUCUAGACAAAGUAAUAAGAGGGAUGUUUUACUAGUUAAUUUAUACAUAAACUAAUUAGGAAUAACAAUAUGGAUAAUAUAUAUAUAUAUAUAUAUAUAUAUAUAUAUAUAUAUAUUAAUUUUAUACAAAUCUUUAAAUUAUAAACUCAAAUAAAUUUUUUAUCUUAAAUUUAAAUUUAAAUAAUUGUGUAUAAUAAAAUAUUAGUGUAAAUACCUAUAGUUUUUUUUAACAAUAGAUUAAUAUAAGUCUCAUUAGAAUUUUUUUUUUUAAAUAUUAUUUUCAUAAAUAAUUUAAAUUUCAUAAUUCUAAAUAAAAAAACAUAAAAUUAAACUCUAAAUAAUUGUUUGAUUAUUAUUGUUUUUUUCAUAAAUAACUUUAUUUUGAUAAUUAUUUUUUAAAUAUUUGAAUAAAAAUCACUAACAAUUAAAUAUUGAAUAUUCUUAGUUUAGAUACUAUGAUAUCUAUACGAGUAAGUAAAGUAUCCUAUUUGGAAUUUUUGUCAUCCCUAAAACUAAUUUUAAUUAAUGAUAUUUAUAUUUGAUUGUAAAAAUGGUAAUAAGAAAAGGCAGCCAGCUGUGCAAGUAUUCAACACGUUAUCCAAAAGAGUUGGUUGGUGGUGAUUGCAUCACUGAUCGAACUUAUAACUAAAUGUAUAACAUUAAUUGCAUCAGCACGUAAAAAGCAGCCUCUAAAGACCAAAACAUAUUUUAAAAGUAGCAACGAAUAGUUAUGGUCAAAUGAUGUUCUUGCUCCCCAAGCAUAUGCAUCUUCCUUUGUCUUUAUCGUAUUAUUCUAUAAAUAUGUAAUUGUUACUUCAUCUUCUUCAUCACUCACAACUUCACAACAUAAACCUUCUUUUCAUAUUUCCACGCUCAAACUCAACCUUCAUCAACAUGCCAUCCUUCUUCAGUUGCUUCAUUCCAUCUUCAUCUGGUCAAGUUUUUGAUUAUGCUCAAAGAUCUUCUUCUUCUUCAUCAUCAUCAUCAUCAUCUCAAAUGAAUCUUCCUUCUUCGGAGAAAGCAAAGAGCAAACCAAAGUCAAAGGGUGCUCCUAUUGUUGUGUCGUAUUUCCCUGUCAACCAUUAUCCCUCACGCUUGUAGAAUAUGAGCUAUAUAUGUUUUCUCAUUUCAGAAGACUAUAAAGGAAGUGUCUGGUUUUAUGUUAAGACGUUCAACGUCUUUUUUAACAUCAGUUAACCUAAAAUCAAACACAUACUCAAAGUUUCAAUAUUCACUUUAUAAAGUAAUUCAUCUGUCAGGCUGAUUAGGUUAUCGAGUUGAACGUUCAUCUGUUAUUUGUAAAAUAUAGUUUCACGCUAUAUUUUUUUAUUUAUUAAUACACACUUCUUUUCCAGAAUUUAUUUCAUUACUUGCAUAUUGUUAAAUUCGUUACUGAAAGUAUUGUUCUUUUGUGAUGAAU
rnacentral:lncRNA from 1 species